rnacentral:lncRNA from 1 species
AUAGUUUUUCCAGAUCUGUGAAACCUUAAGACAUAUUUGUAAGUUACAAUAAAUACAUAUAUAAGAAAACAUAAAAUACAAUAGCAAGACAGAGUCCAACAUUAAAAUCAAAUACUAAAUUUGCACUCUGAGACAUUCACUGUUGUUGUAUAGGAUAUUCACUCUAAAUGGUCUAAGGGAGAUAACUCAGAAGAAAUUUUAAUAAAUACAUUGGAUUCAGAUGGAAAUUUAAUUUGAGCAAACCCAACAGUGAAUAUCUGUAUAGUUCAUGUUAUGUACAUAUUUUGAAAGAUUAUUUCAUUCCUAUAAUUUCAUAUUACAUUUAAUUUCUUACUGUCAUUCUUUCCAACACACAAAGACACUUUUCCAUUAUAUGUGGUUAUGGCAAAAAAGAAAAGAUCACACAAGAAGCACAAGUAUACAAAU